rnacentral:rRNA from 1 species
ACGGAGGGUGCAAGCGUUAAUCGGAAUUACUGGGCGUAAAGCGUACGUAGGCGGUCAGGUCAGUCAGAUGUGAAAGCCCUGGGCUUAACCUGGGAACUGCAUUUGAUACUGCCUGACUGGAGUGUGGUAGAGGGAAGUGGAAUUCCGGGUGUAGCGGUGAAAUGCGUAGAUAUCCGGAGGAACACCGGUGGCGAAGGCGGCUUCCUGGACCAACACUGACGCUGAGGUACGAAAGCGUGGGUAGCAAACAGG